rnacentral:rRNA from 1 species
UACGGAGGGGGUUAGCGUUGUUCGGAAUUACUGGGCGUAAAGCGCGCGUAGGCGGAUUAGAAAGUUGGGGGUGAAAUCCCGGGGCUCAACCCCGGAACUGCCUCCAAAACUACUAGUCUAGAGUUCGAGAGAGGUGAGUGGAAUUCCGAGUGUAGAGGUGAAAUUCGUAGAUAUUCGGAGGAACACCAGUGGCGAAGGCGGCUCACUGGCUCGAUACUGACGCUGAGGUGCGAAAGCUAGGGUAGCAAAUGGG